rnacentral:sRNA from 1 species
GCCAGGAGCCGUGGUGCAUGCCUGUAAUCCCAGCAGCUCGGGAGGCUGAGACAGGAGAAUUGCAAAAUCAAAGCCAGCCUCAGCAAUGGCAAGGUGCUAAGCAACUCAGUAAGACCCUGUCUCUA